GGAUCUAUCUCCCCCCCCCACCAUUAAUCCUCUCUGCGACCUUCCCGCUUCAGAAAACCAGUAACCACAAAGCUUGUCCCUUUUCAUCCUCCUCCAGAUCCCACUUUGUUUCUCCUUGUUUUCUCCUCCCCUUUCUUUUCAAUUUUCUUCAAUCCCAAUCCUCUCCGCUUCUUUCUCUUGUCCUCCCCUCUCAACCACCCCCUUUAAGAUUUAGAUCUACCCUUCUUCUCCUUCAACCCUCCCCCCCCCCUCUCCCACCUUUAAGAUUUAGAUCUACCCCCUUCCUUCCCCCCUCCUUCAACCCUCUUCAGAUCUCUCCUUCCUUUUCCCAUUCUCCGGCGAAAAGGAACCACCUUCACCAUCACUACCGAGAUGGGUUCGAUUCGUGCAGAUCCCACUUCCAGAAUCUAUCCAGACCCUGAUUCUUCCUCUUCUUCAACCCUAUCCUCCGCCGUCGACCACUUCGACCGCCUCCCGGACUCGCUCCUCAUCCUCGUCUUCAACAAAAUCGGCGACGUCACAUCUCUGGGCAGAUCAUUCCUCCUCUGACAAGUCCCGCUCAGCUUCCUCUUCCACUUCCUCAUCAUCCUCCUCCUCAUCGGGUUUC
rnacentral:lncRNA from 1 species